rnacentral:rRNA from 1 species
AACCUGGUUGAUCCUGCCAGUAGUCAUAUGCUUGUCUCAAAGACUAAGCCAUGCAUGUCUAAGUAUAAAUGUUAUACAGUGAAACUGCGAGUGGCUCAUUAAAACAGUUAUAGUUUAUUUGAUAAUCAAACUUACAUGGAUAACCGUGGUAAUUCUAGAGCUAAUACAUGCUGUUAAGCCUGACUUUUAGGAAGGGCUGUAUUUAUUAGAUAACAAACCAAUAUUCCUUGUGUCUAUUGUGAUGACUCAUAAUAACUGAUCGAAUCGCAUGGGCCUUGCCCGCGAUACAUCAUUCAAGUUUCUGCCCCAUCAGCUUUCGAUGGUAGUGUAUUGGACUACCAUGGCUUUAACGGGUAACGGAGGAUUAGGGUUCGAUUCCGGAGAGGGAGCCUGAGAAACGGCUACCACAUCUAAGGAAGGCAGCAGGCGCGUAAAUUACCCAAUCCUGACUCAGGGAGGUAGUGACAAGAAAUAACGGACCGAGGCUUUUGCUUCGGGAUUGCAAUGAGUAGAAUUUAAACCCCUUUACGAGGAUCAAUUGGAGGGCAAGUCUGGUGCCAGCAGCCGCGGUAAUUCCAGCUCCAAUAGCGUAUAUUAAAGUUGUUGCAGUUAAAAAGCUCGUAGUUGGAUUUCUGGUAGGAUAACUUUGCCCGCUUGAUGCGUGCGCAGAGUGAUCCUGCCAUCCUUCUGUUAACCCUUCAGGCUUUCUUUAGUUUGUUGGGGGCUCAGAUAUUUUACCUUGAGAAAAUUAGAGUGUUUCAGGCAGGCUAGCGCCGGAAUACAUUAGCAUGGAAAUAAUA